rnacentral:tRNA from 1 species
UUGGGGAAUAGUGUAACGGUAGCACGAGUGGCUCUGAACCAUUUAGUCAAGGUUCGAAUCCUUGUUCCCCAGU